AUUGAACGCUGGCGGCAUGCUUUACACAUGCAAGUCGAACGGCAGCACGGGCUUCGGCCUGGUGGCGAGUGGCGAACGGGUGAGUAAUGCAUCGGAACGUACCGUGUAAUGGGGGAUAACGUAGCGAAAGUUACGCUAAUACCGCAUACGCCCUGAGGGGGGAAAGCGGGGGAUCGUAAGACCUCGCGUUAUACGAGCGGCCGAUGUCGGAUUAGCUAGUUGGUGGGGUAAAGGCCUACCAAGGCGACGAUCCGUAGCGGGUCUGAGAGGAUGAUCCGCCACACUGGGACUGAGACACGGCCCAGACUCCUACGGGAGGCAGCAGUGGGGAAUUUUGGACAAUGGGCGCAAGCCC
rnacentral:rRNA from 1 species